UCCUGGAUCCACACAGUUCAGUUGAUAGAACAUGAGAUUCUUAAAUUCAGGGUUGUGGGUUCAAGCCCCAUGUUAGGAG